rnacentral:rRNA from 1 species
UCCUACGGGAGGCAGCAGUGGGGAAUAUUGCACAAUGGGCGCAAGCCUGAUGCAGCCAUGCCGCGUGUAUGAAGAAGGCCUUCGGGUUGUAAAGUACUUUCAGCGAGGAGGAAGGCGUUGUGGUUAAUAACCGCAGCGAUUGACGUUACUCGCAGAAGAAGCACCGGCUAACUACGUGCCAGCAGCCGCGGUAAU